rnacentral:rRNA from 1 species
UGAGCAAUCUGCCCUUCUCUUCGGAAUAAGCGUGGGAAACCGCGUCUAAUGCCGAAUACGACCUCCUUUCGCAUGAUCGGAGGUGGAAAGCUCCGGCGGAGAAGGAUGAGCUCGCGGCCUAUCAGCUAGUUGGUGAGGUAAUGGCCCACCAAGGCGACGACGGGUAGCCGGCCUGAGAGGGUGACCGGCCACACUGGGACUGAGACACGGCCCAGACCUCCGUACGGGAGG